rnacentral:rRNA from 1 species
AUGUUUUAUUCAAUUAUUGUGCUGAUCUGUGUGGUCCCUUGGUGUGUUCUAAGGCCAACCUGCAGCAGGUUGUCUCACGAGCUCACUGUUGCAUGGUUUGAUCUGAUUUUGUAUGGUUCUAGCCGGUGCUUAAAUUUUGUCCACAUAUUUAUGGCUGAAGCCCACACAUACAUACUCAUGGAUUUGAUUUUGCGCUAUGCCCUUGUGAACAAUCAAGCUAUCAGGGAGUCGAUUGAGGACCAAAUGGGUAUCUUGUCACUCAUCUCCGGCAAGUCAGGCGUCAGUCUGUCCAUGGUGGAGCAGAGAAUGUUGCCGGGCUCACCGUCCUCGUCAUAG